CUACACCAUGAAUAUGGAUUGGUUAUAUUUUCCAGAAAUGAAGCCCCCUCUUCCUAUAAGACGAACAAGGCGGAACACAUUGGGUGCUUUCCAAUUGUUUAACACAUCUUAACACAAAUGUGCACAGGAAAGCACAAAGUGUAGCGAUAUGCACGAUUCAAUUGGAACAAAAUUGUAUUCUAGUAUCUGUACUGUGUUCAUGCCUUAUUUUUUAAUCUACGGUAGAGAAUAAUAGAAACUGUUUUUAACAUUGAAUAAAGAAUACCAGGAAGGAGCAUAUGACCGAAAAUCCUUUGUUUGCCGUGCGGAGGAUGUGACGUAAUGAAAGUGAACCAAAUAUCGAUAGAAUCGAAUUUAUGACGUCAUUGUAGUUGAAUUCAAUAAGCGUCACAUGUGUAACUGUGAAACUUGAAUAGACUGAGAAUUAAAUAAAAAAAAUAAAAAAUGGUCAGUUGUUGCCUUUGUGGAUAUAUUCUAAAACAAAAGGACGCAUAGAAACAUUUCAUACUUUUCCACAACAUCCAUUACAAAGACAAAAAUGGAUUAAUUUUAUAAGUAGGUCAAACUGGCAGCCAUUAAAAAACAGCAGAUUAUGUUCUAAGCAUUUUACAUCUGACUGUUUUGAUAGAACAGGAAAAAUUACUCGAUUAAAGAGUAUGGCUGUCCCUACCAUUAAAUCCGCAAAUACACAACGUGUACUAUUAGAGCAAAUGUCAUCAAAUCACAAUAAUCAAAAAGUAGCACAAGAAGCACAUUCAGAGCUUUUUAUUAAAACUUUUACACCACAAGAAGUGAGCACUAUUAAUAUGGACGAUAAUGAAGGGCCAUCAACUUCUACUCAAAUUACCUGCACUGCAAGAAGAUAACUUAAUAAGUACACCUUUACAAGUGAAAGAAAGGAAUGAAUUUUCUUAUUAUCCAACACAAGAUGAUACUCCAAGAAAAAGUUAUCUUAAAAGAAAAAUUAUGGAAAUGAGUACAAAAGAAAAAUUAUACAUGAAACGUAUAAUACAAUUACAAAAAGUGACAUAUCGACAGAAACAUCGAAUUAAAAAUUUGACAUCGGUUUUAGAAAAAUUACAGAAUAACGAUUCUUCCCAAAUUAAACAAUGUGCAACUUAAUAGGACAAAAUAUUGACAGAAAUAUCAGGUAUCAAUUUUAUCAAGGA